UACGGCGGGGGCUAGCGUUGUUCGGAAUUACUGGGCGUAAAGCGCACGUAGGCGGACUUGACAGUCAGAGGUGAAAUCCCAGGGCUCAACCUUGGAACUGCCUUUGAAACUUCUGGUCUUGAGGUCGAGAGAGGUGAGUGGAAUUCCGAGUGUAGAGGUGAAAUUCGUAGAUAUUCGGAGGAACACCAGUGGCGAAGGCGGCUCACUGGCUCGAUACUGACGCUGAGGUGCGAAAGCGUGGGGAGCAAACAGG
rnacentral:rRNA from 1 species